AGAACAUAAAAACCUAAAAUUUAGUAACAAGGGGAAAAUAAAGCAUGAUUUGGAGAUAUGUUUCAAAUUUUUAAAAAAUGACCAUAAAGAUCAGCAGUACAACUUAAUACUGUUUGUUAUAUGUACGUGGAUGCCCUUUAAUAAGAGGCAUUGAAUAUUUCUUAACCUGUAAAAAUAACUUGACCAUGCUAAUGUAUAUAUACUUGUGCAUCUUAGGACAUUAAGUGGUUUGCUGCUUUGAUGGAAAUUAUGGUUCAGUGGGUUGGAUACAAGAGAGAUGAUUGUUCACAGAAUAACCUGUGAACUUUCACCCCUCUGUAUGGAAACUUGUUUCAGGGCCAAAUCCUUGUAGCUGUCUUCUUGCCCCGGUCAGUGCCAGCCGUACUAUUCACAACACUGCUGCUACCGAGGCCUAGGAUCAGUUCUUAAGAGCAGCCCCGGUAACUGGAGGAAUGGGAGCCGUUUUGAUGAGAAAAAUGGGCUGGAGAGAAGGAGAAGGAUUAGGAAAAAACAAAGAAGGCAAUAAGGAACCCAUCCUAGUUGAUUUUAAGACAGACCGAAAAGGUCUUGUUGCAGUAGGAGAAAGAGCACAAAAGAGGUCUGGGAACUUCUCUGCUGCAAUGAAAGAUCUGUCAGGCAAACAUCCUGUGUCUGCUUUGAUGGAGAUCUGUAAUAAAAGAAGGUGGCAACCACCUGAAUUUCUAUUGGUCCAUGAUAGUGGCCCUGAUCAUCGCAAACAUUUUCUCUUUAGGGUAUUGAUAAAUGGAAGCGCUUACCAGCCCAGCUUUGCCAGCCCUAAUAAGAAGCAUGCUAAAGCCACAGCAGCUACUGUGGUUCUUCAAGCAAUGGGCCUUGUACCAAAGGACCUCAUGGCUAAUGCCACUUGCUUCAGGAGUGCCUCACGUAGAUAGAUUGAGGUUUUAUAAUAAUCAUUUCAGAUAAUUUUACUCUGCAUCACAAUGUAUUUCCUCUUUAAUGUUGUAAAUAUUUGGCAAUUUAAGACAUUGUGUAAAAAGCAAUCUGUAAAAACAUCUCCAGGCUUUGAUUUUUGUACCAUGGAAAUUGUAUUUAACCAUACAGGGUUUUGGUAUGUUUAUAUUGUUUACCUUAGUGAUGUAUUUGUUUAAGUGGCUAACAUCCAAACGACUGUUUGAAGGCAUCAGAGUAAUCUUCAGUGUGGAAUGUUAAAUAACGCUUUUAUACUGUAUUUUGUACUAUGAUGUAACUCCCCUUCCUUAUGGCUAGGCUACUGUAACACUUGCCUGUAAUCAGUGAAGGGCUGUGCACCUUGUACUAUUUCACAAUGGGUUCUGCUGGACAGAUAAUGGGCCAGUGUUAUUGAGGUGAUCAAGAUCUGUUCCACAGGGCUAAUGCCACCAUCUCCCCUCAAAAUUUUGUAGAGGUUCUAAAAAGAAAGUGGUAUGUUGUGUGAUGAUCAGCACUAAGUCCUGCAUUCCUGUUAAAGCCACUUGGGCCAUAAGAAGGGAGUAAAAAAUGAAGUCUGCCUAGAAUUCUAUUGCAGAGGCCAAGUACAUUUAGUAUGGCAUUGAGUUGUGACAUAGUUUUACUUUGAUGUGCAUUUUGAAUUUCAGCUACACCUAGAUAGACGUAAAAUGAUAAUUAAAAUGCUGUAACCAACUUAUCUAAUAAAAUUGGCAACCAGCCACUAUUUUGUUGACUAUGAGAAAGUUAAAAGUUUAUGUUAAUUUUUAGGGUCCGAUAGAAUAUUUCAUGUGUAUUACAGUGGUAUUCAUAUGCUAUGUCUCUAAACUUUAUUUUCAAAAGCUUAAGGCCCAAAUACAAACUUCUCUGGAAUAAA
rnacentral:sRNA from 1 species